GAUCAAGCGUCAAAAGGGCAUUCGGUGGAUGCCUUGGCAUGCACAGGCGAUGAAGGACGUGAUACGCUGCGAUAAGCCAUGGGGAGCUGCGAAUAAGCUUUGAUCCGUGGAUUUCCGAAUGGGGAAACCCACCUUAGAUGCCUAGAAAAUCAGAACUGCGGCCUUGAGCAAUCAGGGGUGCGGUUGUGGUUUCUAGGUAUCGUUACAAGGUAUCUUAUCCUGAAUACAUAGGGGUAAGAAGCGAACGCGGGGAACUGAAACAUCUAAGUACCCGUAGGAAAGGACAUCAACCGAGACUCCGUCAGUAGCGGCGAGCGAACGCGGACCAGGCCAGUGGCAUGGUUAAGUAAAGUGGAACGAUCUGGAAAGUUCGGCCGGAGCGGGUGAUAGCCCCGUACACGUAAUCCUUCUCCAUGUCCUAGAGUAAGGCGGGACACGUGAAAUCCUGUCUGAACGUGGGGGGACCACCCUCCAAGCCUAAGUACUCGUGCAUGACCGAUAGCGAACAAGUACCGUGAGGGAAAGGUGAAAAGCACCCCGACAAGGGGAGUGAAAUAGUUCCUGAAACCGGAUGCCUACAAGCAGUCGGAGGGCGAAAGCCUGACGGCGUACCUUUUGUAUAAUGGGUCAACGACUUAGUGCAGCAAGCAAGCUUAAGCCGAUAGGUGUAGGCGCAGCGAAAGCGAGUCUUAAUAGGGCGAUUAGUUUGUUGCAUUAGACCCGAAACCGAGUGAUCUAGCCAUGAGCAGGUUGAAGGUUGGGUAACACCAACUGGAGGACCGAACCCGCAUCUGUUGCAAUAGAUUGGGAUGACUUGUGGUUAGGGGUGAAAGGCCAAUCAAACUCGGAGAUAGCUGGUUCUCCGCGAAAUCUAUUUAGGUAGAGCGUCGACCGAAUACCCUCGGGGGUAGAGCACUGGAUGGGCUAUGGGGACUCACCGUCUUACUGAUCCUAACCAAACUCCGAAUACCGAGGAGUACUAGUCGGCAGACACACGGCGGGUGCUAACGUCCGUCGUGAAAAGGGAAACAACCCUGACCUCCAGCUAAGGUCCCCAAGUCAUGGCUAAGUGGGAAAGGAUGUGAGACUCCCAAAACAACCAGGAUGUUGGCUUAGAAGCAGCCAUCAUUUAAAGAAAGCGUAACAGCUCACUGGUCUAAAUAAGGGGUCUUGCGCCGAAAAUGUACCGGGGCUCAAGCCAUGCACCGAAGCUGAGGAUGUGCACGCAAGUGUACGUGGUAGCGGAGCGUUCUGUAAGUCUGUGAAGGGAGACCCGUGAGGGCUCCUGGAGAUAUCAGAAGUGCGAAUGUUGACAUGAGUAACGAUAAAGGGAGUGAGAGACUCCCUCGCCGAAAGACCAAGGGUUCCUGCUUAAAGUUAAUCUGAGCAGGGUGAGCCGGCCCCUAAGGCGAGGCCGAAAGGCGUAGUCGAUGGGAACCACGUUAAUAUUCGUGGGCCUGGUGGUAGUGACGGAUCUCGUGUGUUGUAUCUCCUUAUUGGAUUGGAGGUGCAGCGAAGAGGUUCCAGGAAAUAGCUCCACCGUAUAGACCGUACCCGAAACCGACACAGGUGGUCAGGUAGAGAAUACCAAGGCGCUUGAGAGAACUGCGUUGAAGGAACUCGGCAAAUUGCACGCGUAACUUCGGAAGAAGCGUGACCCUCACUCACGCAAGUGGAUGAGGGUGGCACAGACCAGGGGGUAGCGACUGUUUAUCAAAAACACAGUGCUCUGCGAAGUCGCAAGACGACGUAUAGGGCCUGACGCCUGCCCGGUGCUGGAAGGUUAAGAGGAGAGGUGCAAGCUUUGAAUCGAAGCCCCAGUAAACGGCGGCCGUAACUAUAACGGUCCUAAGGUAGCGAAAUUCCUUGUCGGGUAAGUUCCGACCUGCACGAAUGGCGUAACGACUUCCCCGCUGUCUCCAACGCAGACUCAGUGAAAUUGAAUUCCCCGUGAAGAUGCGGGGUUCCCGCGGUCAGACGGAAAGACCCUAUGAACCUUUACUGCAGCUUCGCCUUGGCGUUAGCGGCAACAUG
rnacentral:rRNA from 1 species